AUUGACAACAUCGUGUUCCCAAAUUUGAGACGUUAUUGGUUUCGCCAUUUCAAAUUUGAAGCCGAAUUUGAGACGUUACGGUUUUCGCCAUUUCAAAUUUGAAGCUAAAUUUAAGACGUUUGGUUUUCGCCAUUUCAAAUAGUACUCUCCUUUUGUUCAAUUUAGAAACGAGGAAGAGAAUUGGAGAAGAUGAUUCUCAGAAGUUCAGAACGCCGCAGCCGAGGAAGAGGAGGGCAGAAUCUCCGCCGCAGGAAGGCAAUAACGCCAACAACAAUACGCCUCAGAGCCCCACUUCUACGAGGACUUGCCGGUGCCGGAAUAUUCGCAUGACCACUCGAUUCCAGUAACCUCCGACCACCUAUCAAUGCCGACAGAUGAUGAUUGCAUAGUUAUUUUUCUUAUCAUAGCUUCAUGCCAUGAACCCAAAUCCAAAUAAAAAAUAAAAACUAUGCUAUUGAAGAUGUCUACCAGAAACGUUUCCAGAAUCAGAGAGAAAGAAACAUAGAGAAAAUUUUCAACACCGAGCAGGAACUAGCUGCUGCUAGAGGAUGUGAACAUAUAUUACAGGAGCAACUAAGGAAGGAGGUCAAUGUUUCUCAAAAACAUCUAAACCACAGGUCUUUCAUGAGCUUGAGUUUCAGAAUGAGAUGGGUCUGCGCAAAAAUGCUGAGUAGUCAGCGUCCAAUGAGCACACAUAUUAGAGGAGAAGCUAAAUACCCUCUUCAAAAUGAGCUUGUUCAAAUGAGAAGUGAUACAUAGUUGUCUAUUUCUAGAAUAAGUGCUGAUCUUGAAAGAAUGGAAUGUAGAGCUAAAAAUGCAGAGAAAGAGUCUGAAUUACUGAAAGUGCUCUUAGAAGGACUUGAAGAGCAACUCGAUAAGCCUUUUUUCCAUGUAACUCAACACUUGGAGUUGGGACUGAGACCAUAUUAGAGGAAGAACUUGGUUACAAUGCCAAUCAGGUCCACAACCUCAGAUUGUGUUAGCUUGGAAAUAGAAAUCACCUGAAGGACUAAUCAUAUCUCUAGCUCAAUAAUGUACUUGACUGGUUGGCACAAAUUUAAGACAAGUAACUGAUGCAUUUAUUGCUUUUGUUUGAUAUAACUUCUUUGCUUAGUAGAAUUAUAGAUAUUCAUGCAGCAUGAAUCUCUGAUGUCAUACCUGUUGGCAAUUGAAACUAAAAAUAUAACAUAUA